GUUUGAACCACGUGUCACAUAACUGCUGCAGAGGUCAUUCUGUUACCAUAGCAACUAAAGUUGUACUUCCAACAAAAAAAGGAGGGUACAUAGAUGGGGCAGAUGCUUGCUGACUGGCAACAAUGGCUGAGGAGGAGAGGCCUGAAAGUAGAGGGACAGCUGUCAGAAAAAUUCAACAUGCUUCAACCUAACAGGCCUAACAAGAGUUUCUGACUGCAAAUGCAUACCCAGACUCAACCAGUAAAACUUCGACAGCUGUAAAUGAACAGCAAGUCUCCUAGUCCCCACCACCAGCACGAGUUGGACCGUGUGCACCAUGAGCCAGAACAUGGAGGAGAGAACAGGACGACCAUCGGGGUGGAGCCAGACUCCUGCUGAUAUCAACGUUUCCUAACCCAAAAAAUUCUCCUCACUGUCAGCACAGCUUUCUAACACUGCAACAUCAUCAAGGAGUGUCUAACUCUCUA
ensembl:lncRNA